CCUGACCCACGGACCCCAUUUUUCCAACGUGCAAAGGUGCUUUGAGCGGCGAGAGAGCAAAGCAUUUCCAUGAAAGCGCGCAGUGGGAAAAAAGCUUUGAUUCUCAAUUACUUGUUAAAUAAUUGUAACUACUUUAUGAUCAAAUCACUAAAGGAGGGCGAGCUUUACGAUGGUGGAAUUGAUUGGUGAUGAAGCAACUUCAAUUCUCUCACCUUUACUCAUCAAAUAUAAGACAACUUUUGAAUCCAAUUCAACGGUUUAUGUACGACAUUGGAACUUUGGAACAUUUGUUUCAAAAGAACAUCAAGACAAGAAAUGGUUGGAGGAUCAACAAUGGUGAAGAUGGACCAGACCAAACUUUAAGCUACAAUGAAGGAAAGGAAUUCAUCCAAUUCAAGUGAAGGUUCAUAGAGUUUACUAACCGAUCGUUGUAGUUUUGGAACGGUUCGAGGUCUGCGAUGCAGCAGCCAUUCGCUCUUUCCUUAAUCUGAGAUCAUCUAACAGCUUCUGAGCAAAAUCUGAUCUUUUUGCCAUGUUGGGUUUUGCUGGGUGGGAACUCAAGGUAACUUCUCAUCAACCAAGAGAGGGAGUGUGUUUACAUUGUAGACUAUUUCUAAGUGGAAGGAGAUUGCUGUGAUUUCUUUUCAUUGUGGUUGAAAAGGUUCUCUCAUGGUUGGGUGAGAUGGGAAAUGUGUUUUGAACCAAAAAAAUCAAUGGAAGUUUGAAAUUUUGGGUUUUAAAAGGUUGACGUUAAAGUCUCUCUCCCACUGUUUCAUUUUACUUUCUUUACAAUUUAAGCAACAGCGAUGAUAUUGAAGGGCUUCUCAUCCAAGCUUUCUGUGUCA